AUGUAUUCUUCCUGUUAACAUGUUACUUCCGUAUGCAAAAUAUAAGAAUUUAUUAGACAUUUUGUCAGUUAAUUUAUGAAAUUUGUUGAAGAUAACUUAUUACUGGGAACAAAGAGAUGAAUAGGUUAAGGUUUUAUUUAAACAAAAGCAUGUUACAAUAAAUAAACUGCUAUCAGAAUACAACUUAAAAUUAGAAGAUACACAAAUUUAAUGCUUGAAGUAUAUGAGUAAAUUAGAGGUCUAAAUAAUAGAAGGUAUUGAUUGUAAAAAUGUUUAUAUUGAUUUAACUAUACAUGUUUAAGGUAUAAAGCAUUAAUUUAUAUAGCAUUAUUAUUCAAAUUUAUAAUUUGCAUAAACCUCGCGAAACAUAUCGCGACAAUUUAUUUUAACUUGAAGCUUGGCACACAAUAAGAAAACUCCUGAUAACUUUCUAUGUAGACUAUAUAUUUCUUCAGGUGGAGGGCAAAGCCUGUGAUCCAAUAUUGUUGGGACUAAUGAUUGAAUCCUGUAAUCAAUGUUAUAUAAUUUAUUAAUUUAUUAAUGAUUUAAUUUAAAUGAUAUCAUAUUGUUCUCACCGUUUAGUUACAUCUUGCCCACCAAAGUCAUAAUAUUUAGAAUUUUUAUCAAAUACUUGACCCAAGACCAUUACUGCAUCUACAUGAGCUUCUUCCAUAAGCUGAAAUUAAUACAAUGUAAUAAAUGUAUAAAUGUUAA